ACGUGGUGACGGAGAUCGUCCCAUGUCGUCAGCCCCAGGCAGUGCCGUACUCCUCGUGAACACGGACCAGCGGCGGUUGGACUGGAGCCAAAAGGCGGCGGGGAAGGUGAGUUGAUGCGGGCCUGUCCUGCAUUGACAGCUUAUAGCUCCACCGUGUGGCGCUCCGGCCCGACCGAGGAAGCUGGGCAGCCCUUGCCCAUCGUGGUACACGCCGAAUGGCGGGGCCUCCCAACACGAGCUAACCGUGCGGUGUGGACUGCAUGCAGUGCUCAACGUGGCGGCGAUCUCGUGGUGGAGAGUGUCACUUGU
rnacentral:misc_RNA from 1 species